UACGUAGGGGGCAAGCGUUGUCCGGAUUCAUUGGGCGUAAAGAGCGUGUAGGCGGCCAGGUAGGUCGGUUGUGAAAACUGGAGGCUCAACCUUCAGAGGUCGACCGAAACCAUCUGGCUAGAGUCCGGGAGAGGAGAGUGGAAUUCCUGGUGUAGCGGUGAAAUGCGCAGAUAUCAGGAAGAACACCUAUGGCGAAGGCAGCACUCUGGGACGGUACUGACGCUGAGACGCGAAAGCGUGGGGAGCGAACGGG
rnacentral:rRNA from 1 species